CCAUAGCGACAGGAUGCGUGCUGCUGGGGCCCAAGCUCGAGGCCUGCGGCCGGGAGUGAGGAGCUUGCGGAAGCACCAGGGUUCGAGGAUCCCUCCCGUAGCGUCUCAUCCGAUAAAAGGGAGGGGGAUCCCCCCCAGGAGCAGCGAUGAGGGCGGCUGUCAUUGACGGGGCUAUGGAGACCGUUGCUGAGGACAGGAUCCCCCCCCCACCCCGUUCUCAGAGGCAUGGAGAGGCCUAGGCUCAAAUCCCCGCAGGGAUACAAGGGCCUGGGAAUACAGAAGCCUCCUCCAGAGACUGGCAUGUGACGCUCCCUCUCCCCAGGAACAGGCAUCCAAGGUUGUGGCCCCUUCCUUGGAGAAAAGGUGCCACUGAUCAAGAGCGGUAUUUAUAUUUAGGAGCACCUAGAGACCCCAUCUGAAAUUGUGCACACGCAAAGUGAGAAAGAGUCCCUGGCCCAAAGAGCUUAGAGACUAAGUAGACAAGAUAUACAAAGAGCGGGAAUGGAAACAGAUGCUGCAGGGACUUCAUCAUCUUGUGCAAUUGUGGGGGGAAUCAGAUCUCUCUCUUUUGGACAGACCCAACAGUGUUCAGGGACCAGUUACCUUCCUCCAGAAGUCACUAGAGAAUGAGAACUGAAUUUGCAGCAGGAAUGAAGCUCAGUAGGUAGUAGACAAGCAUAGACCAUGGAAUGCUUUUAAGCUUUAGCUCAUUCUCUGAUCUGAAGGUGGUUAAUGGCAUCUGCUGAAAUCCCUAUGGGAACUUAAAGAAUGAGAAAAUACCCAGAAACGAACGUGAGGAAUUUCUGUAAUAUUGUUAUGAAAAACUAUGUGUGACUCAGUUUCUCAACUCACUUUGUAUUGUUACCCACUGGAUAUGAGCCGAUUAAUUUAUUUCUUGGAACAGGAAUCUGGGUGAGAUUCAUGUACAGUUGGCAUAUCUAGGUUGGUAUGAAUUCAUUAGCAUACCACAUAUGUAUUAAGUUGCCUUGAAGAUACAAUAGAAGACCAAGGACCAAAUAUUAAUUUCUAAUACCUGUUAAUCAAGUUCACUCAGAACAUAUGAAAACAGUGUGACUGCAGCUUGAAACAAAUGCAGGAGAUAAGAGCAGAAAGAGGCAUUAUGAUUAGUUUGACCUUGGGCAUAAUAUAGGCCAAAGAAACCCAUCCAGUAAUCUCUGCAUCAAGACCAUAACAUCUGUUUGAACUCUAGCAUAUCUUUUUAGAAAGAUAUCCAGUCCUGAGGUAAAGACUUCAAGCUAUGGAGAAUCCACCAUAUCCCUCAUCUGCGAGAAUGGAGCCCGAACUGCUGCGGAACAUGCUGACGAGUCUCGCCAGCACGUCUUGUUUGGUAGUUGAGUUACUGUUUAAGAUCCAAAGUGACAGUC